UGGGGCUUAAAGCACCGCGUAAGACCUUUGAGGUCUGGUCAACAGGCGUUUGUUAAUAUGCAUGCGUUUAUGUGGUUGUGUAGUACAUAAGGACCGCACAGGUGGCCCAUACAUCUGCCCGACUCACCACACUUGCUACACUACAUUUCGCUAUCAGGUUUACAGCCGAGCUUCCCUCUGCCGGGCACUACAGACUGGCGUGUAGCUCCUGGCUCUGCACAGCUGACAGUUCCUCCUAAGAGCCCCCCUGUCUAUCCAGGGUGUCCCACGUUGCCUCUGUCACCGAUGCGAGUAAAGAUGUCUGUUUGGACCGGCUUCUGUCGGAGGGAGGAGGGAGGCUAUGCAGUGUCCAGGGGAACUGUGAACAAGUGAGCCUCGAGUCUCUUGCGGAAGCUGUAAACAGAUAUUGGCUAAUUUCCUCGGCUGGACCGGCUCCACGGAUCCCAUCUGUUCCAUUUCCAUUCCCAUUUCCUGAAGCACAGCUGGCUAAUGGAAGUCAGCCCCAACUGCCCACAGAUUCCUUGCAGAACAGAUACUAUGGUCUGUGCCCAAGGAAGGAGAGCCAUCCAGUCCAAGCCAAACAUCUGAUCAGAAGGCCCUCACCGGGGGGGGGGGGGGGGGGGUCGCAGGCCACCAGCCCUGUUCCAUAUGGUCCCUGCUCCGCGAAGGGAUUAUAGAGUGGACGGACUCUGUCUCUCUCUAUCUAAUGAUAUUCCACUCUCUCUCCCGGCUUCCCGUCUGAAUCCCUUCCUGCUCCCUGUGCACCAGGGCUGCCAGGAUCCAUGGGUAGACAAACAAAGAGCAGGCCCUGGGUGGAAGCUCGUGUGGCGCUCCGCUCCCAUUCAUGAGUGCGGCGGAACAGGGAAGGGAUGUUUUGAUUCAGGCCGAACCGAGGUGGGCUGUCAUGCUCCCAUCCUCCCACUGCGCCCUCACAUUCAGAGGCUUG